rnacentral:lncRNA from 1 species
AUGACAAAGGGAUGCCUCUGCCCACUAAGGGCAUUCUCAACAGAGGCAGGAGAGAAGCUGGGCAAAACAUCUCUGCAGGCUUCAAAAAGUAGAUUCAUUUUCUCAGCACACUGCCGACUGCCAACAGAUGAGCUGCAACUGCUGGCACCGGGGAGCCAGCGAGACAUCAGCAUGCAAGAAGUAUUGCCAAUUCUUUUAUCAUCACCAGUUUGUAGAAACAAGGAGCUGUCUUCCUUUAAAAGAAAACAGACAGACCACCCCAGUGUCAGCCCAGCCUUCAAAGGGGCCUUUUUGCUGGAGGAAACCAAGGACAGGUCCAGCCUGAGCCACCCCUACACUGCGGACAAGUCCCCAUUGCACUGGCUGUGUGACCUGCACCCAUCAGGAUGCUCUCAGGGCAGGACAGUGCCAUGCUAGGAUGCUGCUGCUUAGCAAUAAUGUGGUAGCUGCCAGCACCUCAAGUGUUGUUUUGGAAAAACCCGACGGAGCUGUUGCUGACAGAAGCCACUGCUGACAAUCUCAAAGGGAAGUGCUAACC